rnacentral:rRNA from 1 species
AACGAACGUUAGCGGCGCGCCUAACACAUGCAAGUCGCACGAGGAAGGGCUUCGGCUCCGGUAAAGUGGCGCACGGGUGAGUAACACGUGGGUAACCUGCCCUCGAGCGGGGGAUAACAUUCCGAAAGGAGUGCUAAUACCGCAUACGACCACGACCUCGAAAGAGGAUGGGGUCAAAGCUGGCCUCCAUACAUAAGCUAGCACUUGAGGAUGAGCCCGCGGCGCAUCAGCUAGUUGGUGAGGUAACGGCUCACCAAGGCGAAGACGCGUAGCUGGUCUGAGAGGAUGAUCAGCCACACUGGAACUGAGACACGGUCCAGACUCCUACGGGAGGCAGCAGUGGGGAAUCUUGCGCAAUGGGCGAAAGCCUGACGCAGCGACGCCGCGUGAGUGAUGAAGGCCUUCGGGUUGUAAAGCUCUGUGGGGCGAGACGAAUAAGUGCAGCCUAAUACGUUGCAUGAUGACGGUAUCGCCUUAGCAAGCACCGGCUAACUCUGUGCCAGCAGCCGCGGUAA